GACGAACGCUGGCGGCGCGCUUAACACAUGCAAGUCGAACGGAAAGGCCUGCUUUCCCUUGUGGAUUGCGGGUACUCGAGUGGCGAACGGGUGAGUAACACGUGAGUGAUCUGCCCCCAACUUGGGUAUAAGCCUGGGAAACUGGGUCUAAUUCCCGAUAGGACUGCAGGGUGGUGCCUGUGGUGGAAAACGAUUUUCUAGUGGUUGGGGAUGAGCUCGCGGCCUAUCAGCUUGUUGGUGGGGUAAUGGCCUACCAAGGCGGCGACGGGUAGCCGGCCUGAGAGGGUGGACGGCCACAUUGGGACUGAGAUACGGCCCAGACUCCUACGGGAGGCAGCAGUGGGGAAUAGUGCACAAUGGGCGGAAGCCUGAUGCAGCGACGCCGCGUGGGGGAUGACGGCCUUCGGGUUGUAAACUCCUUUCGACCGCGAGGAAGCCACCUGGUUGGAAGGGUGGUGACGGUAGUGGUAGAAGGAGCACCGGCUAACUACGUG
rnacentral:rRNA from 1 species